GGGUUUUAUUUAAAAUAUGGGUCUGGAAAGUUCAACUGAUUUGUUCGAUCGUGCGAAGUUCUGAUCCGUCCAGAACCCCGCGAACUCUGGCAAGUGUUGUGAUUGCAUCUUCUGGUCAAUUCCAGUGCCCGCGUGCCAUGGCAGGGUCAAACCUAUCAAUGAGACUGAACACUGCAUCAAGAUGCAGCGUCACUCUUGUAAUCUGUUCAAACCUUUACUAUGACAUUGCAAAUAGAUUCUAC
rnacentral:lncRNA from 1 species